rnacentral:rRNA from 1 species
AGUGAACGCUGGCGGUAGGCCUAACACAUGCAGGUCGAACGGCAGCACAGUAAGAGCUUGCUCUUACGGGUGGCGAGUGGCGGACGGGUGAGGAAUACAUCGGAAUCUACUUUUUCGUGGGGGAUAACGUAGGGAAACUUACGCUAAUACCGCAUACGACCUACGGGUGAAAGCAGGGGAUCUUCGGACCUUGCGCGAUUGAAUGAGCCGAUGUCGGAUUAGCUAGUUGGCGGGGUAAAGGCCCACCAAGGCGACGAUCCGUAGCUGGUCUGAGAGGAUGAUCAGCCACACUGGAACUGAGACACGGUCCAGACUCCUACGGGAGUCAGCAGUGGGGAAUAUUGGACAAUGGGCGCAAGCCUGAUCCAGCCAUACCGCGUGGGUGAAGAAGGCCUUCGGGUUGUAAAGCCCUUUUGUUGGGAAAGAAAAGCAGCAGGUUAAUACCCCGCUGUUCUGACGGUACCCAAAGAAUAAGCACCGGCUAACUUCGUG